rnacentral:misc_RNA from 1 species
GGUUUCCUUAUCAUGGUACCAAACUAAAGAUAUCCCCUUUCCAACAAAAAAAGAAUUAUCAAAAUCGAUCGGUACAUCCAGUAGAAAGUUAUGCGGUAUAAUACAACGUAGGUCGACGAAAAAAGCGUCAAGUAAAAACGCAUUAUUAGAUAUAACUCGAAAAGUAGUUGUUAGAUCUCAAAUAAAUUUAAAUGGGACCAAUUGGCACACACCACCUUUCGAUUAAAACAAAAUUUGUCGAAAUCGGUCUACCCGGUCAAAAGUUCUGAUGUAACAUACAUAAAA